ACGUAGGGGGCUAGCGUUGUCCGGAAUCAUUGGGCGUAAAGCGCGUGUAGGCGGUCCGGUAAGUCCGCUGUGAAAGUCGGGGGCUCAACCCUCGGAUGCCGGUGGAUACUGUCGGGCUUGAGUACGGAAGAGGCGAGUGGAAUUCCCAGUGUAGAGGUGAAAUUCGUAGAUAUUGGGAAGAACACCGGUGGCGAAGGCGGCUCACUGGCCCGUAACUGACGCUCAUGCACGACAGCGUGGGGAUCAAACAGGA
rnacentral:rRNA from 1 species